rnacentral:rRNA from 1 species
UACGUAGGGUGCGAGCGUUGUCCGGAAUUACUGGGCGUAAAGGGCGCGUAGGCGGCCACCGCAAGUCGACUGUGAAAUCUCCGGGCUUAACCCGGAAAGGUCAGCCGAUACUGCGGGGCUAGAGUGCAGAAGGGGCAACUGGAAUUCUCGGUGUAGCGGUGAAAUGCGUAGAUAUCGAGAGGAACACCUGCGGCGAAGGCGGGUUGCUGGGCUGACACUGACGCUGAUGUGCGAAAGCUAGGGGAGCGAACGGG